rnacentral:rRNA from 1 species
GCUGGCGGCAUGCCUAACACAUGCAAGUCGAACGAGACUUCGGUCUAGUGGCGGACAGGUGAGUAACGCGUAGGAACCUGCCGAGUAGUGGGGAAUAACAGUUGGAAACGACUGCUAAUACCGCAUACGCCCUUCGGGGGAAAGAUUUAUCGCUAUUUGAGGGUCCUGCGUUCGAUUAGCUAGUUGGUGUGGUAACGGCGCACCAAGGCUCCGAUCGAUAGCUGGUCUGAGAGGAUGAUCAGCCACACUGGGACUGAGACACGGCCCAGACUCCUACGGGAGGCAGCAGUGGGGAAUAUUGGACAAUGGGGGAAACCCUGAUCCAGCAAUGCCGCGUGCGUGAAGAAGGCCUUAGGGUUGUAAAGCGCUUUCACCUGCGAUGAUGAUGACAGUAGCAGGAGAAGAAGCCCCGGCUAACUCCGUGCCAGCAGCCGCGGUAAUACGGAGGGGGCUAGCGUUGUUCGGAAUUACUGGGCGUAAAGGGCGUGUAGGCGGCGAAUUUAGUUAGGCGUGAAAGCCCCGGGCUCAACCUGGGAACUGCGCUUAAUACUGAUUUGCUAGAGUCCGGGAGAGGCUAGUGGAAUAUCCAGUGUAGAGGUGAAAUUCGUAGAUAUUGGAUGGAACACCGAUGGCGAAGGCAGCUAGCUGGACCGGUACUGACGCUGA